rnacentral:rRNA from 1 species
CUACGUGCCAGCAGCCGCGGUAAUACGUAGGUGGCGAGCGUUAUCCGGAGUGACUGGGCGUAAAGAGUUGCGUAGGCGGUUUAAUAAGUGAAUAGUGAAACCUGGUGGCUCAACCAUACAGACUAUUAUUCAAACUGUUAAACUCGAGAAUGGUAGAGGUAACUGGAAUUUCUAGUGUAGGAGUGAAAUCCGUAGAUAUUAGAAGGAACACCGAUGGCGUAGGCAGGUUACUGGGCCAUUUCUGACGCUAAGGCACGAAAGCGUGGGGAGCGAACCGGAUUAGAUACCCGGGUAGUCCACGCCGUAAACGGUGGAUACUAGCUGUUGGAGGUAUCGACCCCUUCAGUAGCGAAGCUAACGCGUUAAGUAUCCCGCCUGUGGAGUACGGCCGCAAGGCUAAAACAUAAAGGAAUUGAUGGGGACCCGCACAAGCGGUGGAUUAUGUUCUUUAAUUCGAUGAUAACCGAAGAACCUUACCAGGGCUUGACAUCCAG